AGUGAACGCUGGCGGUAGGCCUAACACAUGCAAGUCGAACGGCAGCACAAUAAGAGUUUGCUUUUACGGGUGGCGAGUGGCGGACGGGUGAGAAAUACGUCGGAAUCUACUUUUUCGGGGGGGAUUACGUGGGGAAACUUCCGCUAAUACCUCAUACUACCUACGGCUGAAAGCAGUGGAGCUUGGGACCUUGCGCGAUUGAAUGAGCCGAUGCCGGAUUAGCUAGUUGGGGGGGUAAAGGCCCACCAAGGCGACGAUCCGUAGCUGAUCUGAGAGGAUGAUCAGCCACACUGGAACUGAGACACGGUCCAGACUCCUACGGGAGGCAGCAGUGGGGAAUAUUGGACAAUGGGCGCAAGCCUGAUCCAGCCACGCCGCGUGGGUGAAGAAGGCCUUCGGGUUGUAAAGCUCUUUUGUUGGGGAAGAAAAGCAGCAGGUUAAUCCCUCGCCGUUCUGACGGUACCCAAAGAAUAAGCACCGGCUAACUUCGUG
rnacentral:rRNA from 1 species